ACGACGCUGGCGGCGUGCUUAACACAUGCAAGUCGGAACGGUGAAGGGGCCCUGCUUUUGUGGGUCCUGGAUGAGUGGCGAACGGGUGAGUAACACGUGAGUAACCUGCCCCCUUCUUCUGGAUAACCGCAUGAAAGUGUGGCUAAUACGGGAUAUUCUGUGCCUGCUGCAUGGUGGGUGUGGGAAAGAUAUUGCUUCGGUGGGGGAUGGGCUCGCGGCCUAUCAGCUUGUUGGUGGGGUGAUGGCCUACCAAGGCGGUGACGGGUAGCCGGCCUGAGAGGGUGGACGGUCACACUGGGACUGAGACACGGCCCAGACUCCUACGGGAGGCAGCAGUGGGGAAUAUUGCACAAUGGGCGCAAGCCUGAUGCAGCGACGCCGCGUGAGGGAUGGAGGCCUUCGGGUUGUGAACCUCUUUCGCCAGUGAAGCAGGCCUGCUCCUUGGUGGGUGGGUUGACGGUAGCUGGAUAAGAAGCGGCCGGCUAACUACGUG
rnacentral:rRNA from 1 species